GAGAACAUGUAUUCUGUACCUACUAGGCUGAGGUACAAGCCUUUUCCUGUCUAGAGACAACACGUACAAGCCUUUUCCUGUCCAGAGGCAACAUGUAUUCUGUACCUACUAGGCUGAGGUACAAGCCUUUUCAGUCAUUUUUUUAUUUUUAUUUCACCUUUAUUUUAUCAUGCAUCAGACAGUUGUUAUGGUUGCAAAAUAAAAGUGCUUUAAAAACUGGGUUCCCCAGAUAAUGUGCUGUUAAAUGGAACUAUGUCACAUCUGUCAAAAAACAGGACCUAGUCUUUUUGACCUUGAAGAAGAGGUCAAUCUGUUAGUUCUAUUCCAUAUUGUGGAUGUGACGUCCUAGGGACGAUGAUGUGUCAUGCUCACCAUGCUCUCUGARAGGCAAUUGGAUUACAAAUCUCUGUUACAAAUACUUGGUUGUAGAAUAUUUUGUUGUUGUUGUGUUAAUUAUAUACAAUUUCAAUAGAGAAGGCAACGCUGGUUACCCAGCGGCCUGAGAGGGGAGUGGGGGCACAUGAAAGAAGGUAUUAGUGAAAAGUCUAUAAAAAAAAUACUGUUUCUUUUGGAGGAGAAAAAUACAUAAAGAUUGAUCAAAUCUACACAUCAAACUAAUGGCACAUACAUACACAGGAUCAAAUACAAAAUUAAAAACAUAGGAACAUAUAAGCUGAAAUUGUAAAAGAAAAAAACUAUUUUUUUUUAAAGAUUGAAAGUGCUAGAAUUCAGAUUAGCUCACAGAAACCCAGGGAGGACAAACUCAAUGCCAAUGGCCUUUUCUUUUUGAUCAAUAAAUGCUCAAUAAAUGAAUAAAAAGAUAAAUGCUAAAUUUGAGUGCUAGAAUUYUGGCUGGAAUUGGAUAUAGCCAUGGUCUUUGAAAAUGUACACUUGAUGUACACAAAAAAAAUCUAUGUUUUAAGGAUAGCUUUUAAACAAUUAUAUAAAUAUUUAUAUCCAAUUACCACUAUAAGAAAGAGGCAAAUUCUUUCAAAGAUGCGAACCACUUUUCUUCACGAUCAAUCAUUAAAUGUUCCUAAUUUAGAUAAUUUCUCAGCCUAGUGGAAGUGUCAUCAUGAACUUCGGGGAUUCAUACCUGAACGUAUUACUUCACAAGUAUUGGUUGGUAGUGGGGCUAUGUCACAACCAAACAAAUGUUUCUUUUAAAUUGUAUUUAUUUUCACAUAUUUGUCAUUUUAUAGGUCAGUCUAAUUAGCUGACUGAAGAGGCAAUAGUAGGCUCUGGUCGGUUGGUCAAUUUGAAUAACAAUUCUACCAUUAUUAAAAUGAAAUAAUAAAAUGUUUAUUUUAAUGAGCAAUUGUGCAAGAUUUUGUUUCCUCUCCCCAGGUUUUGGGAAGAAAAAUCAAAAAUCAAAUGAGGUGAUGUGUUGUGUUGUUUCAAGGUCCUGUUUUAACAAACAGAAAAUAACAUAUCAUAUAACAACAACAAAACGACUAAGAAAUAUCCCAGUCAGUCGUCCCAUGCUUUGAAUGUCAAAGAGCAGGCUGGUGACUUGUUUGUUCUGGAUAUUGUGUAUUUGUUUUAGACCCUUUCCUCCUGAAUCUAGGAAGCAGCUGAGUGAGGAGUACAGAGAGGAAGGGAAACAGUUCAAAUCUGUACUACUGUGCAUGUUUACAUCUUGCAAUGUUGAAAUGUUCUCUGUUCUACGGUUGCUGGGCAACCGUAGCUAAAAGCA